rnacentral:tRNA from 1 species
UGUCCAGUAGCUCCAAUUGGUAGAGCGGCGCCCUGUUACGGCGAGGGAUGCGGGUUCGAAGCCUGCCUGGACAGCCA